rnacentral:rRNA from 1 species
UACGGGGGGAGCAAGCGUUGUUCGGAUUUACUGGGCGUAAAGGGCGCGUAGGCGGCGCAACAAGUCACUUGUGAAAUCUCCGGGCUUAACCCGGAGCGGCCAAGUGAUACUGUCGUGCUAGAGUGCGGAAGGGGCUACUGGAAUUCUCGGUGUAGCGGUGAAAUGCGUAGAUAUCGAGAGGAACACCUGCGGCGAAGGCGGGUAGCUGGGCCGACACUGACGCUGAGGCGCGAAAGCAUGGGGAGCGAACAGG